ACGCUCGACACCUACGGGAGGCUGCAGUGGGGAAUAUUGCACAAUGGGGGAAACCCUGAUGCAGCGACGCCGCGUGGAGGAAGAAGGUCUUCGGAUUGUAAACUCCUGUUGUUGGGGAAAAAGAGGAUGGUACCCAACAAGGAAGUGACGGCUAACUACGUACCAGCAGCCGCGGUAAUCUGAGCGGGCUGGCAAGGC
rnacentral:rRNA from 1 species